GGUCAGGUAGCUCAGUGGUAGAGCACCUGGUAUAUAUCCAGACGACCUGGGUUCAAAUCCCAGUCUGGUCA
rnacentral:tRNA from 1 species